rnacentral:lncRNA from 1 species
CGAAAAUUGAAAAUUGAAAAUUGAAAAGUGGGGGAGGGCAUCUCAUGAGAAUUAAGUAGUUGAAAGCGUCUCUAAUUGAAUUUGAGCUGACAGCAGUCACUGGCAGAGGCUACAGGCUACAGGUUACAGGAUCCUCCACCAACACAAAACGAAGAGGGAGCAGUCAUAAGAGUCGAAGGCGGAGUCGGGUAAGUUACAGACAAAAUGUAACGGGGCAUUUGGAAUGCAGUGAAACGGUUAGCUUGAUUACUUGGCCCGUGCCGUACAUUGUUGCUUCAAGGGUGAAAGGUUAAAGCUGCCACUCACACACACACACACACACACACACACAUCCUGCAGAGUGCUGCUCGUACUUUAGCUCGUAUGAGAGCUGCAAUAAAAAAAGCAACAAGUUGAAAGACCACGCAAGCAAAAAGCAAAACCCAUCAAGGUCCAACCUACACACACCACCCCAAUACCCAGUGUCAGUGGCAGUACCCAGUCCUCAGUCCUCAGUCCCCAGCCCCCAGUGUCAUUCCCA